rnacentral:misc_RNA from 1 species
AAAGUCGUAACAAGGUUUCCGUAGGUGAACCUGCGGAAGGAUCAUUACCGUCCGAGCCCCUGGUUGGCCGGUGACAAGUAUGAAAACCCUUGCCCUCUUUUGCGCACCCUUCGUUUUCCUCGGCAGCUCUGCCUGCCAGCGGGGACCCCUAAGAAACCUUUUUGCAAUACCUGUACAACCUUCUGAAAAACCCAAUCGUUAAAACUUUCAACAAUGGAUCUCUUGGCUCUG